AUUGAACGCUGGCGGCAUGCCUAACACAUGCAAGUCGAACGGUAACGGACCGCUGGGAUUCCUUCGGGAUGACCUUGGUGCCGACGAGUGGCGGACGGGUGAGUAAUACUUAGGAAUCUGCCCAGUAGUGGGGGACAACAUUCGGAAACGGAUGCUAAUACCGCAUACGCCCUACGGGGGAAAGCGGGGGAUCUUCGGACCUCGCGCUAUUGGAUGAGCCUAAGUCGGAUUAGCUUGUUGGUGAGGUAACGGCUCACCAAGGCGACGGUCCGUAGCUGGUCUGAGAGGACGAUCAGCCACACUGGGACUGAGACACGGCCCAGACUCCUACGGGAGGCAGCAGUGGGGAAUAUUGGACAAUGGGCGCAAGCCUGAUCCAGCAAUGCCGCGUGUGUGAAGAAGGCCUGCGGGUUGUAAAGCACUUUCAGUAGAGAAGAAAAGCCUAGGGUUAAUACCCCUGAGUCUUGACGUAACCUACAGAAGAAGCACCGGCUAACUACGUG
rnacentral:rRNA from 1 species